CCGAGACGGGCGGAUCACGAGGUCAGGAGAUCGAGACCAUCCUGGCUANUGGUCUCGAUCUCCUGACCUCGUGAUCCGCCCGUCUCGG
rnacentral:pre_miRNA from 1 species